rnacentral:tRNA from 1 species
GCUUUCUUGGUUCAGUGGUAGAAUGCCCGCCUGACAUGCGGGUGACCCGGACUCGGUUUCCGGCCAGUGUA